GGAAAACGAGCUUCACUCCAAACCCCUGUGACAUACCUUUAUGUUGCCUCGGCGGAUCAGCCCGCGCCCCGUAAAACGGGACGGCCCGCCGCAGGAACCACAAAACUCUGAUUUUAGUGUAACUUCUGAGUCUAAAAAACAAAUAAAUCAAAACUUUCAACAACGGAUCUCUUGGUUCUGGCAUCGAUGAAGAACGCAGCAAAAUGCGAUAAGUAAUGUGAAUUGCAGAAUUCAGUGAAUCAUCGAAUCUUUGAACGCACAUUGCGCCCGCCAGUAUUCUGGCGGGCAUGCCUGUUCGAGCGUCAUUUCAACCCUCAAGCCCCCGGGUUUGGUGUUGGGGAUCGGGCUGUACUCCAGCCCGGCCCCGAAAUCUAGUGGCGGUCUCGCUGCAGCCUCCAUUGCGUAGUAGCUAACACCUCGCAACUGGAACGCGGCGCGGCCAAGCCGUUAAACCCCCAACUUCUGAAUGUUGACCUCGGAUCAGGUAGGAAUACCCGCUGAACUUAAGCAUAUCAAUAAGCGGAGGAA
rnacentral:rRNA from 1 species